AACACAUGCAAGUCGAGGGCGAGCAAUAAAGUAGCAAUACUUGGUGGCGACCGGCGCACGGGUGAGUAACGACGUAUGCAACCUACCUAUCAGAGGGGAAUAACCCGGCGAAAGUCGGACUAAUACCGCAUAAAACAGGGGCACCGCAUGGUGAUAUUUGUUAAAGAAAUUCGCUGAUAGAUGGGCAUGCGUUCCAUUAGGUAGUUGGUGAGGUAACGGCUCACCAAGCCGACGAUGGAUAGGGAACUGAGAGGUUGGUCCCCCACACUGGUACUGAGACACGGACCAGACUCCUACGGGAGGCAGCAGUGAGGAAUAUUGGUCAAUGGGCGGGAGCCUGAACCAGCCAAGUCGCGUGAAGGAAGAAGGAUCUAUGGUUCGUAAACUUCUUUUGCAGGGGAAUAAAGUGCAGGACGUGUCCUGUUUUGUAUGUACCCUGAGAAUAAGGAUCGGCUAACUCCGUGCCAGCCGCGGC
rnacentral:rRNA from 1 species